AGAUCAAGGCCCGUGACAUGCUUCUUGGUUGAAAUGAAACUGAACAAGUUAAAAUGAGCUUCUUCUUUUUUUUCAGAAGAAGAAAAGAGAGUGUCAAUAUUACAUGCAAAGAUGACCAAGGCAACAUUGAACAGAUUCUGAGAUAUUCUCAAAUGGAACAUGACCCUUGAAGUAAUCUAUCAUGGAGUCAAAACUGCUAUUGUAUAUAACUCAGACUGAUAAGAACUUACAAAUCAAUCAACUUGGUCAACUUGGAAAAUGCCGGUGGCAAUGCUCCUGUGAAUCCAUUGGAUGAUAGAAUGCUAAACAAACAUGUUAAUUUACUCGUAUUAAGACAUUACAGUGUAAUAUGUUCAGGGGAAAAUAGAGAAACAGAUACUGAGAUUUGAAAUUUAAAAUUUCCAAUAAGCACACCAAGAAGUUCAUAAGAAUUACAGUUUUUCUAAAUUGAC